rnacentral:rRNA from 1 species
UACGUAGGGUGCGAGCGUUGUCCGGAAUUAUUGGGCGUAAAGGGCUCGUAGGCGGUCUGUUGCGUCGGGAGUGAAAACUCAGGGCUUAACCCUGAGCCUGCUUCCGAUACGGGCAGACUAGAGGUAUGCAGGGGGAGAACGGAAUUCCUGGUGUAGCGGUGAAAUGCGCAGAUAUCAGGAGGAACACCGAUGGCGAAGGCAGGUCUCUGGGCCAUAACUGACGCUGAGAAGCGAAAGCAUGGGGAGCGAACAGG